rnacentral:rRNA from 1 species
GACGUAGGUGGCGAACGUUAUCCGGAAUUAUUGGGCGUAAAGGGUGCGUAGGUGGCCUGGCAAGUUAUUAGUGGUAAAUCGAGGCUCAACCUCGUGGAAACUAGUAAUACUGUUCGGCUUGAGUGCAGGAGAGGUUAACGGAACUCUAUGUGGAGGGGUAAAAUCCAUAGAUAUAUGGAUGAACAUCAAUAACGGCGAAGGCAGUUAAACUUAUUCUGUUACUGACACUGAGGCACGAAAGCGUGGGGAGCAAAACGG